UGCAAAUCGUGGCAAAUUUGAAAAUUCACUUCGAAGCAAGUUGAGACAAAUCAUCUCGAAGUACGUUUAAAAUUUGGAAAAGAACUUAAUUAAAUUCACCUCAGUCGAAACGAAAUGGCUUAACUAUGUCGAAGAACAGGUCUGUGUCGAAUUUAUCGUUUUUAUAGACGUGUAGACUUCUUUUUGUUGAUUUUAUAGCCCUUGUUUCAACCGUAGCUGUGAAUGAAUUCGACUUUCAGGUGCCCGUGCCAGCUGCUCGACGCUUCUUUCUCGCUACGUACUCUUGCCAUUUCUGCCAAAUUUUGUACUAAUAAUGUUUGAGAAUACUCUCGCUUUAAUUUACGUAGCUCAUAUUUGUCUUGUGUGCAAUUUUAGAUCGAAUUCUUGACGAAAAAGUCUAUUAAAAUCGCCAACAUGUCGAAGAGAAAUAUGGUCGAAGUCGAAAUAUUAGCCACACGUGGUAAGCACAAUAAAGCAUGUUGUCAAUACUCGCUAUAAAAUGCCGUUGUUCUUAUUGUAGCUCGCCUCUGUAUUUAAAGCAUCCUUUACGCUACAAGAACGUAUUCUAGUAAUUUUAAGUAUUGUUGAAGCGUUCUAAAUAUUUUUAGAUACGUUUUUAAAGCAAUGAAUUUGUGAAAAUAUUCUCCGGUUUGAAGACUUUAAAAUGCCGAAGGCGAAGUCCAUUUCAAACAUUCUAAGCUUGUACAAACUUGUAGUUUAUGUACAAAUUGAAAGCCGGGAGGAAUAGCGAGGGUUUUGAAAUGUUUUGAGAUAGCCGAAAUUUAUCGAUGUUGAAUCAUAUAAGAUAAGUCCUCCAAACUUUUGACUUUUUGCCAUAGGCGUCAGUAAGUAUAAGUAACCCUUCACGCAUAAUUUAUCACACACAUGACUAAUUUAGAAUGACUCAUUUAGUCAUUUCUUCUUAAAUUAAAUACUAAUUGUACAUCAAAUUGUCUGGUACUUUAGUAGUUCAUAAUAAUCUACACCCUAUAUGAAUUUAAAGGCGAAAAUAAACAGCUAGAGCAGGCUAAAAUUGCAUUUAAUUGCGUAUUUUUGAAAUCUCUGAUAAAAUUUGGCAGUCCCCCCUCCCCGGACUCUGACCUGUGACGUCAUUUUCAUACGGGACUUCGCGGGAGCUUUUGGCGGGAAAAUUAACAAAAAUUUUUGAUUCUCGAGAAGACAAGAUGGCGCUCGUUUAUACUUGGGCAUUUUUGUUUUAAAAUAACCGCUUAUUUUACGUUAUAGCGACUAGUUCGUUGUGGAAAUUAUAACUCAAUGGAAAGGGAAAGUGUUUAUUCCCUGGAGAGGAAAAUACAUUCAGUUAUUGUGAUGUUAUUUGCUGUGAAAGACCGACCGAAAUUUCAAACUUUGUCGCUGUACUGGUUCAUAAAAAUUUCAACUCGCAGGUCGAGCAUGGAUAAAGAUAC